GAGCAUAGCUCAGCUGGUUAGAGCACCUGCCUUACAAGCAGGGGGUCACUGGUUCGAGUCCAGUUGU
rnacentral:tRNA from 1 species